AGAUUGAACGCUGGCGGAAUGCUUUACACAUGCAAGUCGAGCGGCAGCGCGGGGCAACCUGGCGGCGAGCGGCGAACGGGUGAGUAAUGCAUCGGAACAUGUCCAUGUCGUGGGGGAUAGCCCGGCGAAAGCCGGAUUAAUACCGCAUACGCCCGAGAGGGGAAAGUGGGGGACCGCAAGGCCUCACGCGAUUGGGUUGGCCGAUGUCCGAUUAGCUAGUUGGCGGGGUAAGAGCCCACCAAGGCGAUGAUCGGUAGCUGGUCUGAGAGGAUGAUCAGCCACACUGGGACUGAGACACGGCCCAGACUCCUACGGGAGGCAGCAGUGGGGAAUUUUGGACAAUGGGGGCAACCCUGAUCCAGCCAUUCCGCGUGAGUGAAGAAGGCCUCGGU
rnacentral:rRNA from 1 species